GUGACGUGACGUGAAGUGAUGUGACAUGACGUGAAGUGAUGUGAUGUACACGUGAAGUGAUGUGAUGUGACAGUGACAAGGAACCCAGUGAAGUGGUACAACCUGGGGAAAACAAAGAGAAAAAGUACUAAUGGAAGUAGCAGUGGCAUUACGGCCUCCCUGUAACUCUCCUGACUACCAGGAAGAAACAAAGGCCAAAAAGUACAAAUGCAUUAAGUAAGAUUAAUCCUCCUCAUGGUGGAAUCUACCUGGAGUCAACAUGUAAGAGCGUCACCUUCUCAGGGCAGCAUUUGACCUGAUUGUUUCACUGAGAGGCAGAACUGGCCAGUGUUUAAUAUAGAAUAUGAAAAGUUGAGUUUGACAGCUAGAGAAUUUAUACUUUUUUACUUUUAUGCUGUUGACCUAGAACAGGAGGAGAUAAAUUUUGCAUAGGAUUCUUUCUGGUUGUUUGUUUUCUCUGUGAUUGUUUUUCAGUGCUGUCUUUGGAUGAAAAGGCCUCAGUAGGAAACAUAAGAUGGCGGACAGCCCCAGGAUGACCAAACAGAUGAGAGAGAGCCCCCAAGUCAAAUGAAGAUGAGGGAACAGAACCUUGAUGAGGCAGGAGAUGAAGAAAAGUUGCCCCUUGGAAAAAGAAAACUCUGCAGAUGAAAGCAGAGAUGAAUGAACGCAGGCCAAGAAGAGAAAACAUGAUGAACAACCCAGGAAGUGAUGAGUGCUUCCUUUGGGUGACUCCAAGACCCCAAAUGACAAAAAAAGACCCCAGAGGAACCCAAGUAUGCAAACAAAGAUGGGGGACGUAAUGAAGAGAGAAGAGAUGAGGGACAGCUCUGGGUAACUCGAACAAAUUCUCCUUGACUCCAAAUGAUAAAAAAGAUCCAGAAGGAGCCCAAAGAAACAAUCUCAAGAUGCAAACAGAGAUAAGGGAGCAGACCAGAGAGAGAUGAAGCUAUGUCUUUAUAUUGACGAAAAGCAAGUGCGAGAUAGAGCUAAAAGGACAUGACCAAGGAUGACAGUAGAGAUGAGAAUCAGCCCCAGUAUGAGACGAGAUGACAAACAGCACCAGAUGGCUCUAUACUGCACAUACUGCACUGCACUCUUUGUUUAUUUAACCACCUGCAAACAGCUGACGGAGGACCUGAACACUCCAUUUAAAGAUACUAGGGGUGAGAUGGCAGAGAAGACUCGGGGCAGUGCCACUCACACAGAGGGAGAUUUCCUCAAUAAUUUAGCUUGAUGAAAGAGUGCAAAAACUGUCCUUAAAUAAAAAGUCAAA